rnacentral:tRNA from 1 species
GGGCCGGUAGUCUAGCCUGGAAGGAUGCCCGCCUUGCACGGAGCUCCCAAGAACGCGGGAGAUCCCGGGUUCAAAUCCCGGCCGGUCCA